ACAACGACUCUCGGCAACGGAUAUCUCGGCUCUCGCAUCGAUGAAGAACGUAGCGAAAUGCGAUACUUGGUGUGAAUUGCAGAAUCCCGUGAACCAUCGAGUCUUUGAACGCAAGUUGCGCCCCAAGCCUUCUGGCCGAGGGCACGCCUGCCUGGGUGUCACG
rnacentral:rRNA from 1 species